UACCCCCCGGAAUUUUCAGUCAAAAUAUGAAAUUACGUACUCUAUACCUUAAUGAGAAUAAAAUCACCUAUUUACCACCCGGAAUUUUCAUUCGAAAUACCAAUCUAGCACUUUUAUACCUUAAUGAGAAUAAAAUCACCUAUUUACCACCCGGAAUUUUCAUUCGAAAUACCAAUCUAACACUUU